GAAUUGACGGGGGCCCGCACAAGCGGUGGAGUAUGUGGUUUAAUUCGAUGCAACGCGAAGAACCUUACCUGGUCUUGACAUCCCGGAGACCCUUAGGAAACUAGGGGGUGCUUCCAUCUGGAAGAAUCUGGAGACAGGUGCUGCAUGGCUGUCGUCAGCUCGUGUCGUGAGAUGUUGGGUUAAGUCCCGCAACGAGCGCAACCCUUGCCUUUAGUUGCCAGCAGUUCGGCUGGGCACUCUAAAGGGACUGCCGGUGUUAAACCGGAGGAAGGUGGGGAUGACGUCAAGUCCUCAUGGCCUUUACGGCCUGGGCUACACACGUGCUACAAUGGUCGGUACAAAGGGUUGCCAAGCCGCGAGGUGGAGCUAAUCCCAUAAAACCGAUCGUAGUCCGGAUCGCAGUCUGCAACUCGACUGCGUGAAGUCGGAAUCGCUAGUAAUCGUGAAUCAGAAUGUCACGGUGAAUACGUUCCCGGGCCUU
rnacentral:rRNA from 1 species